CCUUCGAUAGCUCAGCUGGUAGAGCAGAGGACUGUAGAUCCUUUGGUCGCUGGUUCAAUUUCAGCUCAAAGGG